GAUGAACGCUGGCGGCGUGCCUAAUACAUGCAAGUCGAGCGAACAGACGAUGAGCUUUCUCCUCUGACGUUAGCGGCGGACGGGCGAGUGACGCGUGCAUCACCUACUUAUUAUUCUGGGGGGACUUCGGAGAGCCGGAUCUAAUACCAGAUAAUAUAUUGAACCGCAUGGUUCAAUAGUUAUACACAGUUUUCGUGUCACUUAUAGACGAAUCCGCGCCGGAUUAGCUAGUUGGUAAGGUAACGGCUCACCAAGGCAACGAUGCGUAGCUGACCUGAGAGGAUGAUCAGCCACACUGGAACUGAGACACGGUCCAGACUCCUACGGGAGGCAGCAGUGGGGAAUAUUGGACAAUGGGCGCAAGCCUGAUCCAGCCAUGCCGCGUGAGUGAAGAAGGUCUUCGGGUUGUAAAGCCCUUUUGUUGGGAAAGAACAGCAGCGUAUGAAAACCCCGCUGUUCUGACGGUACCCAAAGAGUAAGCACCGGCUAACUUCGUG
rnacentral:rRNA from 1 species